rnacentral:lncRNA from 1 species
AUCUUCCUCGUGUUGUUGCUGUGUAUGUGUUUGGAUCAGUCGGUGUUGUGUUACUGAACUCUGUUGCUCUGAUAACAGAACUGAUCCUGAAAACAGGUAAUGGUGAAGGUGCGAUCGGAGACAUGAGGAUCGUCAUCUUCUCCUCUGAAUUCCUCUUCACCUUCAUUCUGAUGGUUUUACUGGUAUUUGAACCCUGGAUCACACCAGGUCUGCAGUCUUGUCAGGUUAGUAUCAGAAACUAAUGUGAUGCAUUCUCCUGCAGUGAGUUAAAGGUGCUCUUGGUGAUUUGAUGUUUCUCGAAGUCUUUAAAUGCUUCAUACAGACACACAUCAGUUUGGACGCAAGCAAACGUUUCUGAUUACUGAAGUCACUGUGGAAAUAGACCUGCUCUAUUCACAUUUCUAUUUGUCACCUGAGAAGAACUGAUUCCACAAACUCUAUAAUAAUAAAGGGACAGAUGUGUAAAUUAAUUCUGCUUCAUUACUGAAGUACUGUUUUGAG